UCUCUUUAACGAUAACCUCUGAGGAACCUACUAAAUAUCAUGAGGAAUGUAUGUUCUUUCUAAGGAAGCUUUCCAAUACUCACACCAUUUACAAAUCUAACACUCCACUUUGUGAGAAAGAUCUGAAAUGGAAACAUGUCCCACUGAAGCCUUGGUGGCUUGUGAACUCCGUGGUGGACUAUUCUGAGGUCUGUCUUGCACAUGUUCCCUGCGGACCUGUGCUUCUUUCCUGCUCUGUGGUUGCUCACUGUUGUCUAAGUCUCUAUAUAUUAAUUUCCAAAUGCUUCCAAAUAGCAACUUAGUAAUGCUUAGAAAGCUUGUGAAGAGACAGUGAGAGAGAGAGAGUGCUUGCCAACUAGGUACCUGACAGAGGGUGGUCUUGGCCCAUGGUCCCUGGAAUCCAUCACCCACCCAACGUGAUACUCUAAAGCGGGGGUUGUGCUGUGACUCGUCUUCCUCUUUCGUGGACUCUAAAGAAAAAGAAGGCAAACAUUGCAAUUUCUUUUGGUAGUUUGAACUUCAUAAGUAAAUUAAAACACUCUGACUGCAAACCAACGACACAUUUUCACACUGCAGAUGGCACAUUGUGAAAUCACAUGAAGUCACAAAACCCAAACAUCUCUCACACAAGUUACAAAGCUUAACCUGAAGGACCCUGACUGAGUUUGAGCACAAGGCUAAAUGAAAUCAACACAGAAUAAUCCACUGCAUCCUGAUUGUCUUUAAUCCCAUGACUCCUUGAAAAAGAAGGCACAGUUCAGCCUAAAGACAGUGUGAUCCCUGAAAACAGCAUCUGCAAUCUCACCGAAUACCAGUGUCGGUCUCAGAAGGAAUGUCAAACUUAAUUCAAAUGUGUUUAUGCUAUUUUACUUCUGCCAAAAUAUCACAGAUUUUUGAAAAUAAGAAUGAACAUAAAAGGGAAGAUGUCCUAUCACACACGAAGUCUCACUACGCAGCUCUGGCUGGCCUGGAACUCCCUCUGUAGAACGGGUUGGCCUUGAGUUCAAGAGCAAUUCAACUGCCUCCACCUUCCCCGUGAUGGAAUUAAAGAUAUUUUGAUAUUUUAA